rnacentral:misc_RNA from 1 species
CGAGCGUCAUUACAUCCCUCAAGUCAAAACUUUUUGGUUAACUUGGCGUUGGGCCUUGCCGGAAGGCAUGCCUAAAAAAUUAGCGAUGGUACGUUAAACCACGGACGCACAAAUGUCGUUACGUAGGGGCAUGGCACCAGUCUAAUGAUUAAUUUCUCAAUGUUGACCUCGGAUCAGGUAGGAAUACCCGCUGAACUUAA